rnacentral:ribozyme from 1 species
CAAAAGGAAAAAAGAAAAAGAAAAAAAGAAAGAAAGAAAGGAGCGCAUUGAAAUCCCAUUCUCACUAUUUUCCUUUACAGGUUUAUUUUUAUUGCUGAUACCAUACUCUAUUACAACGAUGUGAUGCAUACAAAACAGUCUCCCACCACCACCAUUAACUGCGGUGGAAACAAGCCGGAUGAAGGGGGAAAAAAAAAGGAAUUUUUGAGUCUCCUGCUUAGCUUUCUAUAUUGUCUUUAAAAAAAAAAAA